ensembl:lncRNA
GUUCUGCACGUCAAAAUCCCACUUAUGUCAAAGCAGCCUGGUGUCUUUGAGGAGCGCGUUCACGAUGCCUGUCAAUUCCAUGCGCAUUCUAAGCCCCGCCCUCUAUGCGGUUUAAUGGGCAAAAUACCUGACCAGGUGGAGGCGCUGCUGCAGAGUGAAAGACAAUCCUGUUAUUUCCUGUGACAUCCGGACCUCAGGAAGGAAUAAGGGGGAAAAGUUAAAAUCGGGAGAAACAACGUGGUCACAGGAAUUCAUCGGCGUCUCCAGUGAUGGAAACGGGACGCCCGGGUGGACGCACUACUUCUCUGCGAGCGUCAAUAUUCCGUCUGUCAAGCAUUGAUUCCAAAUCAAUCAGCGCCCACUUUGAAGAGCGACUGGAUACGCGGGAUGUGAAAGAAUAAUUCACUGGUUUUGGGCACGUCCCCCCACUCCCCCCGUUCCCCCCGGAGCCGUGGAGGUGAGGAGCCUGGGUGGCAGCGCAGCACGCCGGGGCCUCCCUGGCUGGCGCCUGUAAUUUUACCUUCACAUUCAUCAGCCGGAGAUAUUAAUAAUAACUGCACAUCUGGAUUCACUUUACCGUCUCGCGUUCAGCCCCCCCCUUCUGCGUCUCCUCCACUGCUGCAGUUCCCCUGUUUGAGUCUCCGCUCACCUGAGCAGCUUCACGUCGACGUGUUGCUUCUGUCUCAAAUGAUGGAUAUGGAGCGUCCUUUUAUUAACGGCCAUGAAGAGA